rnacentral:rRNA from 1 species
GACGAACGCUGGCGGCGUGCCUAAUACAUGCAAGUCGAACGCUGAAGGAGGAGCUUGCUUCUCUGGAUGAGUUGCGAACGGGUGAGUAACGCGUAGGUAACCUGCCUGGUAGCGGGGGAUGACUAUUGGAAACGAUAGCUAAUACCGCAUAAUAGUAGAUGUUGCAUGACAUUUGCUUAAAAGGUGCAAUUGCAUCACUACCAGAUGGACCUGCGUUGUAUUAGGCAGUUGGUGGGGUAACGGCUCACCAAGGCGACGAUACAUAGCCGACCUGGGAGGGGGAUCGGCCACACUGGGACUGGGAAACGGCCCAGAAUCCUACGGGAGGCAGCAGUAGGGAAUCUUCGGCAAUGGACGGAAGUCUGACCGAGCAACGCCGCGUGAGUGAAGAAGGUUUUCGGAUCGUAAAGCUCUGUUGUAAGAGAAGAACGAGUGUGAGAGUGGAAAGUUCACACUGUGACGGUAUCUAACCAGAAAGAGACGGCUAACUACGUG